UGGAGUGGGCGGCUUUAUGUAUCAUGACGUGGAUGUCACAGUUGUGGGCGAUGAUGAAAUUACCACUUCUGUUUUGAAGACGACUACUCAGCCCGCUGUGACAGAUCAUACAGGUGAGAGGUUUGUGAUGUCCCCCCAGUCACUGCGUGCACAUG